GAUGAACGCUAGCGGGAGGCCUAAUACAUGCAAGUCGAGCGGUAGAGUGACUUCGGUUGCUUGAGAGCGGCGAACGGGUGAGUAACGCGUACACAAUCUACCUUUAAGAGGGGAAUAGCCCUGGGAAACUGGGAUUAAUGCCCCAUGGCAUCACGAGACGGCAUCGUUUUGUGAUUAAAGCUGAGGUGCUUAGAGAUGAGUGUGCGUCUGAUUAGCUAGUUGGUGCGGUAACGGCGCACCAAGGCGACGAUCAGUAGGGGGGCGUGAGAGCGUGGACCCCCACACGGGUACUGAGACACGGACCCGACUCCUACGGGAGGCAGCAGUAAGGAAUAUUGGUCAAUGGAGGAAACUCUGAACCAGCCAUCCCGCGUGCAGGAAGAAUGCCCUAUGGGUUGUAAACUGCUUUUAUCUGGGAAGAAAAGUCGGGAUUUAUCCUGAUCUGACGGUACCAGAGGAAUAAGCACCGGCUAACUCCGUGCCAGCAGCCGCGGUAAAG
rnacentral:rRNA from 1 species